UACGGGGGAUCCAAGCGUUAUCCGGAAUUACUGGGCGUAAAGAGUUGCGUAGGCGGCAUAGUAAGCGAGUAGUGAAAUGACGUGGCUCAACCAUGUGUCCAUUACUUGAACUGCUAAGCUAGAACAUGAGAGAGGUGGCUGGAAUUCCCUGUGUAGGAGUGAAAUCCGUAGAUAUAGGGAGGAACACCGAUGGCGUAGGCAGGCCACUGGCUCAUUGUUGACGCUCAGGCACGAAAGCGUGGGGAGCGACCGGG
rnacentral:rRNA from 1 species